rnacentral:rRNA from 1 species
CGCCAGACUCCUACGGGAGGCAGCAGUGGGGAAUAUUGCACAAUGGGGGAAACCCUGAUGCAGCGACGCCGCGUGAGCGAUGAAGUAUUUCGGUAUGUAAAGCUCUAUCAGCAGGGAAGAAGAUGACGGUACCUGACUAAGAAGCCUCGGCUAACUACGUGCCAGCAGCCGCGGUAAUACGUAGGGGGCAAGCGUUAUCCGGAUUUACUGGGUGUAAAGGGAGCGUAGACGGCGAUGCAAGCCAGAUGUGAAAGCCCGGGGCUCAACCCCGGGACUGCAUUUGGAACUGUGUGGCUAGAGUACUGGAGGGGCAGGCGGAAUUCCUAGUGUAGCGGUGAAAUGCGUAGAUAUUAGGAGGAACACCAGUGGCGAAGGCGGCCUGCUGGACAGUAACUGACGUUGAGGCCCGAAAGCGUGGGGAGCAAACAGGAUUAGAUACCCCCGUAUG